UCAUCAUUCGUCAAUUGAUUGAAGCGUUUAUGAUAAAUGGAGGAAGGUACAUAAGCAUGACCAGGAUGUUCUGUACAUCAUUAAUCAAUUAAUUCAGAAAUUUAUGGAAAAAAAAAAGCUGAGCGUCGUCUUUGA